GCCCCGGAUCUGGACGCACAACCUGCAGCUGCAGCAGCAGCUGGACGACCGCUUAUGUCCUGGAUUUCAUCUUUUCUCCUUUCUCUGAUUUACUCAUACACAACUCCUGACUUGCUGCAUGUGGCUGCUGAAUCUUCCUACUGCAGGUGUGCCUUACACAUGUUCGUUGAGUUGCUUAAUGACAUAAAAAUUUUUUGAAACCUGGAGUUAUGCAACUGCAGCAACAAGGACGGAUGGCCAUCUUCACAGGUUAUGCCCCUUACUGUAAUUUGCAUUCAGUUAUGUGCAGUAAUAAUGCCAUAUUUGUUAGCCUGCUAGCUGUUUCCAGAUUUUUUAGACAUGAUUGACUGCUUCUACAGAAAAGGAGUUUCUCGAAGAUAAGAGCAAUCCCAUUGUUGCUACAGAGCCUGAAGAUUCUUUGCCUUUCUUUGAACUGUUUCAGUUUUUUCUUUCAUAUGGCUACAAUUAUUUGAUUGGUCCAUGUAGAUUUAGGCAACAUGAGAUGAGCCGAUGAUAUAUAUUGUAAUAUAUGAUGUCUAUUGCUACAAGUGUUGAUGUCUUGGUGAUGGCAGGUUUUGCAAGUAAUUGAAGCGCUUUUUGAGUAGAGGAUAAUUAGAGAUAUAAAGUUCUACCUCAGAUCUUGGGGUAUGUGAAAGUGAACUCGGUGAUUUCGAGUAAUUCUAAGAGUAUACAUCUCAUCUAUCAGGUAUCCUUUUUUGAGUAAUGCUAAGAGGAUACAUCUCAUCUAUCAGGAAUUAAUCCAUCUCGCUGUACUACCAACUCCGUCGGCCGCUCCUGCUCCAUACGCACAAUCUCGUCGAUGUACCAGGUACGAUUGAUCUCAUGCGAGCUACAUUCAGUUCUGUCCUUUUGAUUUGCAAGCUAAAUUCCCUUCUGCCGUGUUGAGAGACUUAAUAUUAUCUGUGUGUCUGCAAGCGUAGCUGCCAUCAUCAUUACCUUGCCCAUAUACGAACAGUCUAUUACCUGAGUCGGGUUUCUACUCAAAUUGUGGGAAUUACAUAUAUUAACUGCUUGUUGCCUGCUCUGUUCCUACUUGGUGUGGCCACAUAUAAGUCUUCUGAUUGUUUGGGUUAAUUUUUGAGAAUCCACUCAAUAUUAUUCCUAUGUGAUUGUGUGCUGUCGAUCAGAUUUCUUUAAGACCCACUGAAUAUUAGACGGACGUGCUCUACCUUGGCCUCAAGGGUGUUCAUCUACUUGUUGCCGUGCUCUGGAAUCUGGACGAUGCACUAAUGCAGGUUUGAUUUUAUUUUCUUGCAUAUCCCUGAAUUUUUAGAGCCGUGAUUUAAAUGCUGCCGUGUGUGCCAUCGUGUCCUGUAUAAUGAUUCUUAUUGAGGCACUGCUGCAACCCAGUUUGCUUAUCAAAUUGAUGCAAGAAACGAACUAAUACAUAGAGAGUACAAAUCACUAUUACUAAUCUAUAUAUGCCCUGCAGUACGUGUGUGUCUGGAUAGGUAGAGAUGGAUAAAUUUUGUAUGUUUUUGUUCCUGGUUUUUCCCAUCGAUUAUGGAUUUGUAAGCUAAUCCUUGAAUGUUUCUAUUGCCUGAUAUAUUAUGGAUUUUCAGUGAGCACAAGCCUGCAACCUUGAAGGAAAAUCCAUUGCCGCUGAUGACAUGAUACUAUGGGUGAGAUUUUUCAUGUUUACUUUGUUAUGUUAGUAUGUUGCCUCGAAAGGUACAACUGAUUUAGUAGAUGUACUGCACUCCUUACAGUCGAGUGUGAGUAGUUCUGCUUGAAGAGGCCAUGGUGAUUUUGGUUCAUUUAUUGUAAAAUCUUGUGAUGGCUUGACACAACAGAGUGAAGCCACAUGAAUUCCGUUACACUAAAUUCUUAUCAUUUGCUCGCCUUAUUUGACAAGGUGACAGGCAUCUUGGCAGCCGCCACUAGAGCAACACAUCCCUGAGCGAGCAGAUGAUGCAUAGGGGCACCUAUGGAAGAAGAGGUCGGGGAUGGUAGACAAGGGCGUGGACGCCGGUGCGGGCUCCUUAAAGCCUUCGAGGAGGAUGUCGCGGUCGGGCCCGGGGGCGGCUGCACUAGAGACACCAUGGUCAUUGCAUUCUAACAGUAUCUGCAUGAGCAGAGAAGACCAAGACCAAGUGAAGGUCACAUGGACGUGUGAAUCAGUGGGCAAGCCUCAUUUUUCUUCUAUACAUUAGAGCAGCCCAAGAUACUUGGCAUCCGUGAGACCCAUAGAUCAGCUAGGUAAGUACAAAGCUACCAAUUUUCAUGUACCUAUGUGAGUUUUGUGAUGUUUCCCUAAUAGAACAGAAGCAUCCUACUUAUCAGUCUAAGUAAGUUUGUGAGUUGAUCCACUGCUGAAAACAAUUCAGUUGAACAUGUUUGUUCCAACAGUUUUGAAUGUACAUGAAUGUACAUAUGCAGUUUGAUUCCAUGUG
rnacentral:lncRNA from 1 species